CCUACGGGGGGCAGCAGUGGGGAAUAUUGGACAAUGGGGGCAACCCUGAUCCAGCCAUGCCGCGUGAGUGAUGAAGGCCCUAGGGUUGUAAAGCUCUUUUGUGCGGGAAGAUAAUGACGGUACCGCAAGAAUAAGCCCCGGCUAACUUCGUGCCAGCAGCCGCGGUAAUACGAAGGGGGCUAGCGUUGCUCGGAAUCACUGGGCGUAAAGGGUGCGUAGGCGGGUCUUUAAGUCAGGGGUGAAAUCCUGGAGCUCAACUCCAGAACUGCCUUUGAUACUGAAGAUCUUGAGUAUGGGAGAGGUGAGUGGAACUGCGAGUGUAGAGGUGAAAUUCGUAGAUAUUCGCAAGAACACCAGUGGCGAAGGCGGCUCACUGGCCCAUAACUGACGCUGAGGCACGAAAGCGUGGGGAGCAAACAGGAUUAGAUACCCUGGUAGUC
rnacentral:rRNA from 1 species